UAUAUUUGCGGCUUCAUAAUAUGAUACAUAAAAACUAUUAACAUUAAUAUUGGCAUG
rnacentral:ncRNA from 1 species